GAACCAUAUCCAAUAAGGUUCGAUUACGCCUUUCUGCCACACCAUUCAACUGCGGUGUCCUAGGAGGCGUCAAUUGCGAAACUAUUCCACACUCCUUGAGAUAAUCGUGGAAUUCAAGACUUAGGUACUCUCCUCCUCGAUCGGAUCGAAGCAUCUUGAUUUUCCUGCCCAAUUGAUUCUCCACUUCAUUCNGGUUCAACCGGAGUUUCCUCCUCGGGUUGAGUGCCAGCGGUAGAGGUUCCUUCAUCUAUCGACUCUUGAAUCUCUUCAAGUUCGAUUUGCCUCCCACUGUCUCCUUGGCUUAUGAGUUCUCGCUCUCGGAAAACUCCUCUCCUCGCAACGAAGACAACAUUGUCCUUCGGUCUAUAGAAGAGAUAUCCAAAGGAUGUCUGCGGGUAGCCGAUGAAAAUACAUCGCUCACUUCGAGGUUCAAGCUUGUCGUGAGUAUCUCGUCUUACGAAAGCCUCGCAACCCCAAACCUUGAUAUGUGCUAACGAGGGAGCUUUCCCUGUCCACAUCUCGUGAGGUGUUUUGGCAACCUUCUUAGUAGGGACUCGGUUAAGGAUAUGGGCGGCAGUCUCUAAGGCAUACCCCCAAAAAGAGAUAGGUAGUGAAGCACGACUCAUCAUAGAGCGAACCAUGUCUAACAAGGUUCGAUUACGCCUUUCUGCCACACCAUUCAACUGCGGUGUCCUAGGUGGCGUCAAUUGUGAAACUAUUCCACACUCCUUGAGAUAGUCGUGGAAUUCAAGACUUAGGUACUCUCCUCCUCGAUCGGAUCGAAGCAUCUUGAUUUUCCUGCCCAAUUGAUUCUCCACUUCAUUCUUGAACUCUUUGAACUUUUCAAACGUUUCUGACUUUUGCUUGAUUAAGUAGAUAUACCCAUAUCUACUAUAUUCAUCGGUAAAAGUCACAUAGAAGCGGUUUCCAUCCUUCGUGGUUGAUCUAAAUGGUCCACAUACAUCUGUAUGUAUGAGGUCCAAUAGACCCUCACCCCUUUCACACGUACUAGUGAAGGGUGACUUAGUCAUCUUUCGAAGCAAACAAGACUCGCAUGUGUCAUCUUCCCGAAGGUCAAAUGACUCCAACACUCCAUCCUUUUGGAGUUGGGCUAUGCGCUUCUUGUUGACGUGUCCAAGACGACAAUGCCACAAGGAUGCUCUAUCCAUACCAUUGGAAGGAUCCAUGCAUAAAACAUCAUUUCCUAAGUUAUCUACAAUCAUAACAGUUUCAUAAAUUCCAUUACACGGUAUUGCUUCAAAAUAUAAGACACCAUUUAGAUAAGUAAGAAUAGAACCAUUCUCAUUAUUAAAAGAAAAUCUAAAACCUUGUCUAAACAAACCAUGAAAUGAAAUGAUGUUUCUUGCCAUUUCUGGCGAAUAGAAACAAUUGUUCAAAUCUAAACAUAAACCAUUCCUAAGCACUAAAGAAUACACUCCAAUCUUGGUCACAGGCGACGAUCUUCUGUUCCCCAUGAUUAGAUUUAUUCUUCCAUGCUCCACAUCCCUAUUUCUUCUUAGUCCCUGCAAUUCAGAACAAAUAUGGUAACCACAACCGGUAUCAAGGACCCAAGAAAUAGCAUGAGAUGAAUCAUUAGAUUUAAUUGUGUAUAUACCUGUGAAAGAUGGCUUGAUCUUUCCUUCCUUGAUAGCUUGCAGGUAUUCUGGGCAGCUUCUCUUCCAAUGUCCUAUUUUAUGGCAGUGGUGGCACUUUGCCUCCUUUGGGUUAUGACAGGGUUUAG
rnacentral:lncRNA from 1 species